UACGUAGGGGGCUAGCGUUGUCCGGAAUUAUUGGGCGUAAAGAGCGUGUAGGCGGUCCGGUAAGUCAGCUGUGAAAGUCAAGGGCUCAACCCUUGAAUGCCGGUUGAUACUGUCGGGCUAGAGUCCGGAAGAGGCGAGUGGAAUUCCCGGUGUAGAGGUGAAAUGCGCAGAUAUCGGGAGGAACACCAAUGGCGAAGGCAGCUCGCUGGGACGGUACUGACGCUGAGACGCGAAAGCGUGGGGAGCAAACAGG
rnacentral:rRNA from 1 species